CCACAUACCACAUGGUAUUGUUGUGAGGACUAGAUACAACAUGGUAUUGUUGAGAGAGUGGAGCUGUGAGGACUAGAUACAACAUGGUAUUGUUGAGAGAGUGGAGCUGUGAGGACUAGAUUACAACAUGGUAUUGUUGAGAGAGUGGAGCUGUGAGGACUAGAUACAACAUGGUAUUGUUGAGAGAGUGGAGCUGUGAGGACUAGAUACAACAUGGUAUUGUUGAGAGAGUGGAGCUGUGAGGACUAGAUACAACAUGGUAUUGUUGAGAGAGUGGAGCUGUGAGGACUAGAUACAACAUGGUAUUGUUGAGAGAGUGGAGCUGUGAGGACUAGAUACAACAUGGUAUUGUUGAGAGAGUGGAGCUGUGAGGACUAGAUUACAACAUGGUAUUGUUGAGAGAGUGGAGCUGUGAGGACUAGAUUACAACAUGGUAUUGUUGAGAGAGUGGAGCUGUGAGGACUAGAUACAACAUGGUAUUGUUGAGAGAGUGGAGCUGUGAGGACUAGAUACAACAUGGUAUUGUUGAGAGAGUGGAGCUGUGAGGACUAGAUACAACAUGGUAUUGUUGAGAGAGUGGAGCUGUGAGGACUAGAUUACAACAUGGUAUUGUUGAGAGAGUGGAGCUGUGAGGACUAGAUACAACAUGGUAUUGUUGAGAGAGUGGGGCUGUGAGGACUAGAUUACAACAUGGUAUUGUUGAGAGAGUGGAGCUGUGAGGACUAGAUACAACAUGGUAUUGUUGAGAGAGUGGAGCUGUGAGGACUAGAUUACAACAUGGUAUUGUUGAGAGAGUGGAGCUGUGAGGACUAGAUACAACAUGGUAUUGUUGAGAGAGUGGAGCUGUGAGGACUAGAUACAACAUGGUAUUGUUGAGAGAGUGGAGCUGUGAGGACUAGAUUACAACAUGGUAUUGUUGAGAGAGUGGAGCUGUGAGGACUAGAUUACAACAUGGUAUUGUUGAGAGAGUGGAGCUGUGAGGACUAGAUUACAACAUGGUAUUGUUGAGAGAGUGGAGCUGUGAGGACUAGAUACAACAUGGUAUUGUUGAGAGAGUGGAGCUGUGAGGACUAGAUACAACAUGGUAUUGUUGAGAGAGUGGAGCUGUGAGGACUAGAUACAACAUGGUAUUGUUGAGAGAGUGGAGCUGUGAGGACUAGAUACAACAUGGUAUUGUUGAGAGAGUGGAGCUGUGAGGACUAGAUACAACAUGGUAAUUUGACAGGCAGUCCUAGCUUGCAUUCCAAAUGGCACCCUAUUCCCUAUUUGUAAGUCGCUCUGGAUAAGAGCGUCUGCUAAAUGACUUAAAUGUAAAUGUUAAAUGUUGAGAGAGUGGAGCUGUGAGGACUAGAUACAACAUGGUAUUGUUGUGAGGACUAGAUACAACAUGGUAUUGUUGAGAGAGUGGAGCUGUGAGGACUAGAUACAACAUGGUAUUGUUGAGAGAGUGGAGCUGUGAGGACUAGAUACAACAUGGUAUUGUUGAGAGAGUGGAGCUGUGAGGACUAGAUACAACAUGGUAUUGUUGAGAGAGUGGAGCUGUGAGGACUAGAUACAACAUGGUAUUGUUGAGAGAGUGGAGCUGUGAGGACUAGAUACAACAUGGUAAUUUGACAGGCAGUCCUAGCUUGCAUUCUAAAUGGCACCCUAUUCCCUAUGGGCCCAGGUCACAAAUAGUGCACUAGGGAAUAGGGUGCCAUCUGGGAUGUAGCCUAUUCAUUUACAGUAUCAGACUAGCUCCCUACAACGUACUGUAGACAAACAGUGGAGACGACAACAACCUUUAAAUGAACUAAAUUGUGCAUUAAAAAAAUACAACUCUAUAAAAUAAGUAUUUGGAGAAAGAGAAAACAAAACAAAAAUGAUAUAUAUAUAUAUAUAUAUUUUAAACAUCCUCUAUGGCACCUGUCCAGAACAUAACUCAGAUUUAAACUCAAGCUUGUGAGUUAUAACGACUUACAAUGAACACCCCCUAAACUCAUUCAAUUGUUAUGGGUACAUUGAUCAGCAAUUGCACAUUUUUGUUUUGGCAGUUGCUUGGCAACGGGGCCAAAUUUAGGUCAAACACCUCGAUUUUGUGAUCGUAAAAAUCUUUUUGAAGUGCGUGCUCGCACGUGUGUGUGUGUGUGUGUGUGUGUGUGUGUGUGGACAUCAACAUAGGAAGUGUGUGAGGUUCAUUUUUACUGUUCCAAUUGGCCAAUGAAAUGCAAGCGACAGUGGAGGUAGCAAUACGAGUUGUUUUUGUACUGACAGUAUCGCUACUGAAGAAGGAACAUCAGAACCCGUACCAAUAUAAAACAA